rnacentral:lncRNA from 1 species
AGUGACAAACCUCUCUUGGUGUGCAGGCGGUCGGACACUCAGCUGGACAGGCAAAGCAGAAUACCUUUCUGUCAGUGUACGUUUCAUUCAUACAUCGUUUGGGUCAGGGUCUCCGGCCAGAUACCCGCAGCUAAUGCCCUCAAGUGUGAGGUGCAACACCUCAAGGCUGGGCACCGCUCAAGGUCGCAAGCCUGGGUAAGAGAAGAGAGGACUGAGGUCCGGCCCCACCGCGCUCUGUGUAGAGGACGCAAAGCCCAGCGCGGGCCCGGUGGUCCCAAGGCACCGCGCCUACGUGCCCAGGUCCCACACAUAGGGCGACCGGAAUCAGGUGGUGGGGCCGCACAGACUCCGCGACCACUCGCCACCAUCGGCCCAGCCCGCUGGCGUUGCUGGACGCAGCUCCACUUUGGGGCCGGCUCCCGUGAGCACUGGAGCCCGCGGGUCCCUGCUGGAACGCUGCACAGUCGCGGCAACCCAGCCAUGACGUACCACCCGCCGACAGUUGCCACGCCUGCCCAGGACCGCCCUCACGGAGGCGGUGGCCACAGACUACCCAUCCAGAAGAAGUCCUUCCAUGUCAAAGAUGAGGUAUUCUUGCAGAGAGGAGGGAAGACAUCAUUGCUGUCAACCAUUUUAUUUGAUUUCAGCAUAGUGCAAUGUACAUAUUAAGGAUUCUCACUCACUAGACGUGACUGGCCAUCUGAGAGAGGGGCUCAGGCUUCAUCACACCCCACCCUUUAUCAUCGUAUUGUUCCAGGAUUUAGGGUUCCUGACUUCAAACAAUUCCCUCCUCGCUUGCCACUCUCUCCCUUUCUCCUUCCUUCCCUUCCUUUCCUCCUUUCUUCCUCAUUUUCUGUCCUCUUAGACUCCCUCCCUUUCUCCUUCCCUCCCUUUCUUUCCCCCUCUCUUCCUUUGUCUUUCCCCUGUCUUCCUUUUUCUCUUCCUUCUUUCCUGUCCUCCUCCUUGACUCCCUUCUUCUCUUCUUGCUGCCUUUCCUUUCCCCUUCACUGUUUCUCUGCCUUCCUUGAUGCUCUCCUUUACUCUCCCUCUCUCCUUUCUUCUGUUCCUCCUCCUCUCUUUCCAUCUUCCUCCUAACCUCCUCCUCAACUCUCUCCCUGUCUCCUUCCUUCCUUUCCUUUCCUUCUUCUCUUUUUCCCUGUCUUCCUUCCUGACCUCCUCCUCAACUCCCUUUCUCUCUUCUUCCCUCCCUUCAUUUCCUCCUUCUCUCUUUCCCUAUUGUCCUUCCUUUCCUCCUUGACUCCCUCCAUCUCUGCUUCCUUCACUUCCUUCUGUCCUUCUCUCUUUUCCUGUCUUCCUGUCCUCCUCCUAAACUGCCUCCUCCUCUUCUGCCCUCCCUCCCUCUUUUCCUUUUUUCUUUCCCUCCUGAUGUUUCCUCUGGCAUAGCCCCCUCCCUCCAGGACCUGCGAGGGGUCCGUGUGCCCAUAAUGGAUACAACUGGGGAUGCCAGCAUCUUGGGCCUCUACAGUGUCUUGCACCACAUUCACCAGGAGGGGUGCCCACUGGCCCUGCCCACUGAAGCUUCUCUCCUUGAGUGGAAUCACAGCUGGAGCUCACCAUGCAGAGUGCUGAGUGCCAUCUCUAAUGUGCACCUUGCAUCAUCACUGCUUCUUAAUAAAACACAUGCUCACCUGCAAGGCUCUUAGUCCUGUCACAUUUUGUGCAAGUUGCUUGUUGCUCUGUUCACUUUUCAGAAGUGUUUAUAAAGGCCAUGUGCUGAGAGUCUGAGAUGAAACAGUGAUUAGCUGUUCAUGGUAAAAACUGGCUUGUUUCAUAACAACAAUUGUAAUAGCCACCAGCUGUCAUAUAAUUAGGAUAUACUCACAACUUUAUAAAUGAUCUCUUAUUUCAUUGGCUCAGCAACUUUGCAAGGUAGACAGUGGAGUGCUUCUUCUUACAGAAAUAAAGAAAUGGAGCUUGAGGGAAGCCAGGUACCUUGCCACAAGUCGUAUAACUAAAAACAAUCAGGAUGGAGAGUUGAACCUCCAUUGGUCUUCCUUUCUCAAAAAAAGAGCCAAAAGGCAAAAUCUAUUAUUAUGUUUUCUAUGCCUUUUCAAAAUUUCUUAAAUGGUAAGUAAUUAAUACCACAUGUGAAUAGAUAAUAUCAAAAUCAAAUACAAAUAUGACUGUCCAAUUAAAGGGGGGGAAACAAUAAGGAGAAGGA